rnacentral:rRNA from 1 species
UACGUAUGGGGCAAGCGUUAUCCGGAAUUACUGGGUGUAAAGGGAGCGUAGGCGGUACGGCAAGUCAGAAGUGAAAGCCUGGGGCUCAACCCCGGAAUUGCUUUUGAAACUGUCGGACUAGAGUGUCGGAGGGGUAAGCGGAAUUCCUAGUGUAGCGGUGAAAUGCGUAGAUAUUAGGAGGAACACCGGUGGCGAAGGCGGCUUACUGGACGACCACUGACGCUGAGGCUCGAAAGCGUGGGGAGCAAACAGG